CCGCACAUCAGAAUGGGACAUGGAGCUUUGCAAAGACCUUAACUGUUUUGUGACUCUGUGAAACCAUAAAGGAGAAUGAGCUUCGGAGGCUUCUGACCCUUAUUCUGAUGCUGGUGUAGAAAGCAGCUCAAAACAAAUCCACUGAAGACUGAACAGCAACAAAAUACUGGAAAGCAUUGCAAGGUGACAGUUAUUGGAAACCCACUGGAAGCAACGGUUCUUCUGCCUCUGACCUCAAAGCACAUUUGACCAGAAACCUGAAGGUAGCAUGAAUGUGGUAGUUUGUUUUUUUCCCUGGCAAGGACCCACAGCUCUGCUCUGGCUUGGAGGCUUGGAGGGGUGGACAAAUGCCAGGAGCCAUCCACUGUGGCUGUCUGCCAGGAGGAUGCAGAGGGGAGCAAUAAGAGAGCAGCUAUAGCAAACCUGGUGAGUGAGCUCUGUUCAUGCAGGAGGGAGAUGCAGACCCAGCCUCCCAAGUGGCCAAGCCAGCCAUGAAACAACUAGAAAAGCAGCUCAAACCUAUACUCCCCACUCUACCUUUUCCUGAGGAGGGUCUCUUCCAUGUCUUUUACCACCAGCUGGUCUCCAGGCACCUACAGAGACUUCUGAAAUUUCUCUCCUCAUCUUACUUGAUCACAGCAGUCGUCUCACCUCAGUCUUGCCUUUAUGUUUGA
rnacentral:lncRNA from 1 species